CUACGUGCCAGCAGCCGCGGUAAUACGGAAGGUCCAGGCGUUAUCCGGAUUUAUUGGGUUUAAAGGGAGCGUAGGCGGACGAUUAAGUCAGCUGUGAAAGUUUGCGGCUCAACCGUAAAAUUGCAGUUGAAACUGGUUGUCUUGAGUGCACGCAGGGAUGUUGGAAUUCAUGGUGUAGCGGUGAAAUGCUUAGAUAUCAUGAAGAACUCCGAUCGCGAAGGCAUAUGUCCGGAGUGCAACUGACGCUGAGGCUCGAAAGUGCGGGUAUCGAACAGGAUUAGAUACCCUGGUAGUCCGCACAGUAAACGAUGAAUACUCGCAGUAUGCGAUACAAUGUAUGCUGCCAAGUGAAAACGUUAAGUAUUCCACCUGGGGAGUACGCCGGCAACGGUGAAACUCAAAGGAAUUGACGGGGGCCCGCACAAGCGGAGGAACAUGUGGUUUAAUUCGAUGAUACGCGAGGAACCUUACCCGGGCU
rnacentral:rRNA from 1 species